rnacentral:rRNA from 1 species
UCUAUGUCGGCGACCGGCGCACGGGUGCGUAACGCGUAUGCAACCUACCCAUUACAGGGGGAUAACACUGAGAAAUCGGUACUAAUACCCCAUAACAUCCAGGAAGGCAUCUUCUUGGGUUGAAAACUCCGGUGGUAAUGGAUGGGCAUGCGUUGUAUUAGUUAGUUGGUGGGGUAACGGCUCACCAAGACAACGAUACAUAGGGGGACUGAGAGGUUAACCCCCCACAUUGGUACUGAGACACGGACCAAACUCCUACGGAAGGCAGCAG